AUCUAACUGACGAGUCCCAAAUAGAACGUAACACUCAUCCUGUAU
rnacentral:hammerhead_ribozyme from 1 species